GUCAGGAUGGCUGAGUGGUCUAAGGUGUUUUACCUUCCAUACUAAUGGGUGUUUUGGUUUCCAAAUGGGGGUGUGGGUUCAAAUCCCACUUCUGACA